UGGUAACGUCGGUGCCGCGGCGGGUGUGAUUCGAAGGGUGAGAUCGUUAGUUGUAAGUCCUUUGAUGAGAGCUUGGGUAGGCGGGUCUUUAAGUCUGGGGUGAAAUCGCCGGGGUCAACCUGGGAAUGGCAGGUGAGACUGGGGAGCUAGAGUGUGUUAGAGGAUGGUGGAAUUCCCGGUGUAGCGGUGAAAUGCGUAGAGAUCGGGGGGAACAUCAGUGGCGAAGGCGGCCAUCUGGAUCAACACUGACGCUGAGGCACGAAAGCGUGGGGAGCAAACAGGAUUAGAUACCCGGGUAGUC
rnacentral:rRNA from 1 species